AGUUUUGAGGCUGAUGAGGUAUGCGUCAUUGAAAUUAUUAGUAUGUGAAAAUGUUUAGUUACUUCUAAGAGAGAUCCUCCAUAUGGGAAUUAUAUUAAUUAUUAGUAUUUUUCAUUGAAAUUGUGUACAAAGGGUGCUGGAACUCUAUUGGACUCUGAUGUAGACAGCAAGAGAACUUCAUAUGGGAAUUAUAUUAAUUAUU
rnacentral:misc_RNA from 1 species